rnacentral:rRNA from 1 species
UACGUAGGGAGCAAGCGUUGUUCGGAUUUACUGGGCGUAAAGGGCGCGUAGGCGGCGCGGUAAGUCACUUGUGGAAAUCUCUGAGCUUAACUCAGAACGGCCAAGUGAUACUGCAGUGCUAGAGUGCAGAAGGGGCAAUCGGAAUUCUUGGUGUAGCGGUGAAAUGCGUAGAUAUCAAGAGGAACACCUGAGGUGAAGACGGGUUGCUGGGCUGACACUGACGCUCAUGCACGAAAGCGUGGGGAGCAAACAGG